rnacentral:rRNA from 1 species
CCAGACUCCUACGGGAGGCAGCAGUGAGGAAUAUUGGUCAAUGGACGAGAGUCUGAACCAGCCAAGUAGCGUGCAGGAAGACGGCCCUAUGGGUUGUAAACUGCUUUUGUAAGGGAAUAAAGUGAGUCUCGUGAGACUUUUUGCAUGUACCUUAUGAAUAAGGACCGGCUAAUUCCGUGC